rnacentral:rRNA from 1 species
UGAGGAAUAUUGGUCAAUGGAAGGAAUUCUGAACCAGCCAUGCCGCGUGCAGGAAGACGGCUCUAUGAGUUGUAAACUGCUUUUAUAAGAGGGUAACAGCCGGUACGAGUACUGGUUUGAAAGUAUCUUAAGAAUAAGGGUCGGCUAACUCCGUGCCAGCAGCCGCGGUAAUACGGAGGACCCGAGCGUUAUCCGGAUUUAUUGGGUUUAAAGGGUGCGUAGGCUGUAAUAUAAGUUAGGGGUGAAAACUACAGGCUUAACCUGUAGCCUGCCUCUGAUACUGUAUUGCUAGAGAAUAGUUGCAGAAGGCGGAAUGUGUGGUGUAGCGGUGAAAUGCUUAGAUAUCACACAGAACACCGAUUGCGAAGGCAGCUUUCUAAGCUAUUUCUGACGCUGAUGCACGAAAGCGUGGGGAUCAAACA